UGUGUAGGCGGUCGUAUUAGUCUUUCGUGAAAGCUUUUGGGCUUAACCCAGAAAACGCGGGGGAAACGGUACGGCUACGAGGACGUAAGAGGUAAAGGGAACUCAUGGUGUAGGGGUGAAAUCCGUUGAUAUCAUGGGGAACACCAAAUGCGAAGGCACUUUACUGGUACGCUCCUGACGCUGAAACACGAAAGCGUGGGAAUCGAACG
rnacentral:rRNA from 1 species